UACGGAGGGUGCGAGCGUUGUCCGGAAUCACUGGGCGUAAAGGGCGCGUAGGUGGCGCGGGAAGUCAACGGUGAAAGUUCGGGGCUCAACCCUGAAUCGGCCGUCGAUACUCCCGGGCUCGAGCACUGUAGAGGCAGAUGGAAUUCCGGGUGUAGCGGUGGAAUGCGUAGAGAUCGGGAGGAACACCAGUGGCGAAGGCGGCCGGCUGGGGGUGACCUGACGCUGAGGCGCGAAAGCGUGGGGAGCGAACCGG
rnacentral:rRNA from 1 species